rnacentral:lncRNA from 1 species
AUCCCUAGAUCCAUAUCCCCGAUUCUUAAAAUGGAGAUCAUGAAGAAUCCAACCUCUAGAUCUGCACCCGUAUCGGACACCCCAACCUGAGUCCGAGCUACAUUUCAAGCAGGCUGUUUGUUUUUUCCAAUAAAAGGUAAUGCAACCACAAUUUGGAAAAGGAAAGGCCAACUCCAUCCCAGUUGACAAAAAGCAUAAGGAAAAUACAGUAGAAGUUUGGAGGAGUAGCAGCUUUCAGGAAGAGAACAAAGCUUUAGAAAAGUAGAAUGUACUUUAAAUAGUUCAAUAGAUGGGGGUUUUAUUCCUGUUAUGAUUCCGUGUUCCGUGUUCCAUGUUUUAUUACGAAUCUGUGUGUUUUCCUCUGCUUUCCUCUGUUUUAUAUUACUUAUAGGUGCCGUAUUUAUGUAUGUUAUGUAAUCUGCUUCUGUGCUUUAUAAUGUGUUUGUGUGGUAUCUCGUGCCUUGAGCCGGGGGUCUAUCGGAAACAGCCUUUCUACUUCUUUAGAGGUAGAGGUAUGGACUGCGUACAUCUUACCCCCUAGACCCCACUAGGUGGGAAUACACUGGGUUUGUUGUUGUUGUUGUUGUAGAUGAGUAGACAUAAUCCUGACAAUCUCAGAAGCUCACACAUGUAAUUGUCUUUAAAACAUAACUCACAAUGGUUAUUAUUUAAUGUCUUAAUAGCCCACUUUAACGGACACUUCUUUUCAAAAAUCCCUCAGUUUAAAAGAGUUUGCAAAAGCACAACUUUUAGUGCUUUGCUACUAGUUACUUUUCAAUAUUGAGGCACGGUGUUUAAGAAAGAAAGAAAACACUUUUGAACUUGUGGCCUUAAACAUGGGGGUUUUGUUGCUGUAAUAACAUGUCACUAAUGGUUAAAUGGUACGAUCAACUUAAAUGUUUUCAAAUAUAGAAGGUGUCAAUGUUUUUGGGAUAGACUAAUAAAGAAAUGGUGUCACAAAAUAUGGAAUGGAAGAGUAAUAUAUGGCUGUGAGGAGAGAUUUAUUCGUUCUGUCUGAAUCUGAUUUAGUAUAUAGAAGAGGGGGUAUCAUAUUAUGAAGAGAGAGCGCAGCUCAAACCCAAGUUUCCAUCUGCUCUAUGUAAAAAACAAUUUUUUUGUCGAAUACAACGUUACAUUGUGUGGCUUCACCUCAUAUAUAAAGAUAAGUUGCUAGCAGGAAAAAAUUUGCUCACCUCUUCUCAGCUAAUUGAUUAUUUUUCUCAAAAUACUUGAACUUUAAAAAGGACACAGGGCCAUAGUCCUCGUCUAGGAAUAUUUAAAACCCAUGACAAAUUUUGAAGAGAUGAAAGACAUAAAACAAACAGCAGAUAAGAAGCAGCUGCCUUCUUGAAAGAAGUAAUAAGAUAAUCUAAUAACUGAGCAGAAGCAUGAUAGUUAUGGUGCAACACCCCUUAAAGCUUGUCAUCUUCUUUAUCUCAUAAUCCUCUUAAUAACCACUUCGGCAAGAAAAGAAGAAAAGGUUUUUCGUCUCGAUUCCUUCACCCAUUUUCUAUAUCCACUAUCACAUUACUUUUGCUAGUUAAUAUUUCCACCAUUCCAUCAACUCUUUAAAAAGAUCAAGUUAGGCACAGAAACAAAUUUGUGCUCUGUAUCUAAUACAUUAUGGCUGAUAAAUUGAUUAAAAUACCGCCUAAACGGCUAGACCUUCAUAGUAAAUAUUUUAAAGAUCACAAACUGGAAAAGCAAUUACAAACUUUGUCCAAGGUCCAUUUACUUUUAUGAUAUAGAAGUAUUUAAGUAAUUACAACUACAACAACAACAUACCUAGUGUAUUCCCACAAAGUGGCGUUUGGGGAGGGUAAAGUGUACGCAGUCCAUACCACUACCUCAGAUGAAGUAGAGUUGUUUCCGAUGGACCCCAGGCACAAGACAACUAACAGUAUAGGAAAGUAUUUAAGUAAUUAUAAAUAUUUUCCUACCGCAACAACAAUGGUCUUGUCCUCAUUAUACAGUGGCUGAUCUCCAGAAGUUGGGUCCACUAUUGCCAAUCGUUGAUGAGCAAGAUAACAGUCCUCGUGGCUAUGUAAUCCACUCCAAUCAGGUCCUCUGUGGCGCAACCUACAAUUAACAUCACAUAAAAGAAGAUUUCAUAUAAUACGAAUCCUGCCUACUGCAAUGUAGAAUAUGAGACAGUAGUAAUAAAUAAUGUGUAUCAUCCUCUAAAGAAAAGUCCAGAGAAUUGGACUCAGAGCCCAACACAAAUCUAUUAAAAGAGGCAAAGUUAGGGGAUUUAUAAAAUUAGAAUUGGGAGUUGAACAAUGUGAUUCUAAAGACAUUGUGGAUCAGUGUUAGCAUCACGGGUACAAAGCAUGUCCCGACCAAAAAACAAACAGCUCUGUGCACGAAGCAUGUCCCGAAAAGCAGCAAAUUACUUAUUUCCGGCAAAAUACAGAGAUGGGAGACGGUAAUGUUCAGCACGAAGAAUGAAUACAUGGCCAGCAAAUCGGAAAGCAAGCAGGUAAAGACAAAAACUGAAUAAUGGGAGAUCCCCCAACCCCCCCCCNNNNNNNNNNNNNNNNNNNNCUUAGACAGAACAGAAGUGGCCAAAACCAAUUUCUAAAAAUUUCUUCAGAGAUUGUGGUUUAUAGGAACGAAAAGAAACCAAACAUGCAGCUCCAACAGGGUAAAUGAUAUAUCAAACAAGAAACUAAUUUUGAAUAGGGUUGAACAAGAAAAGGAGUCCAUUGCUUUCCACGUACGGUAUAUCCUUAUUCCCAGUACCUGCUAAAGUAGAGAAGAGGUUGAAAAAGUUAAGAGAUUUUCAUUGGCAGGGGAAACAGUGAGAAAAGAUGUUUUCACUUGGUCAAGUUGAGUACGUCAAAUUAUAGCAAUAAGGAAGUUGGUCUUGCCAGUAAAAACUUGAGGCAUUAAUGAUAAUGAAAUGAUUAAGCCAUUAUGGAGAUUCUCUUUACAAGAACAGUCACUUUGGAAGGCUGUCAUAAGUGAGAAGUUUGGAAUAGAAGGCUGUUGGACUAUAAAACCAGUGACUUCUACUCAUGGGGUGGAUUCGUCGAAGACUAUUAGAGCUCUUGACAGAAGUUUGUGAGCAACAUUGGGUUUAAAUGGGGAGCAGAAAAUUGUUUUUUUGGGUAAACGAGUGGAUAGGUCAUGCUCCUUUGGAAGAUCUAUUUCCAGAUUCCUUCAAACUCCUUAUUGCAUUUUAUUUCAUUAUUUCAUAUUCCAUCCUUAGUAUUUUGCUCGUAGUAGCCCCUGUACCUUGUCUGCUGUCUGUGGUUGCUGUUGCUGUGGUCGUUUCUUAGUUUUAUUUCGGGAAUAUUACUUUGAAUGUGUGUGAGCUUUGUAUUUCCUUGCUGCUGCUUUGAUACUGUCACCGGGUUCAUCUUUAUAUUUUCCUAUACUGUCGGGUAGUUGUGGCUGUGGGUGGUAAUGGGUGGAUAGUCUAGCUUUGAUCUGAACCCAUAUGGAAAUAUUUUUUUUGAUUUCCCAUCCAGUGUUUGAUACCCAUAUUGAGGAUCAACUAAAUUUGGAUUCGCGAUGAGAAGUCCCACGUUGGGCAUGUAUAGUGUUGUUUGCAUAGAGAACCCCAGUACUUUAAUUCGUUAUCUUGUCUUGAUGUUAUAUUUAUUGUAGUUUAUCUUAUAUGCGCUACAUGAUUUGACUACACCUACUUGAAAGUUCAAUUUUAGACGCUGAUGAGAUAUGCUUGACUGGUAGCGAGAGUUAAAAUCUAUUUGAUGUUUUCCUCUAGAAACUAUUUUAUCUUUUAAUAGCACUAGGUCGUUUGGUAUAGGGGAUGGGAUAAGUAGGGAUAUCUUAUGGCUUGGGAGAUCCCAUGGGAUUAUUUUAUCCUACCUUCCAUAUGGAUAGUAAUCCCCCAUUUUAGUAUUAGUGGUCGGAUAAAACAAUCCCGGAAUUAGCUAACACCUCACACCAAACAUGGGAUAAGUUAAUCCCAAAUUUUACCCUGGGAUUGUUGUCCUUAUCCCACGUACCAAACGCCCCCUAAAGACUUGCUCUAGGACUUCAUUUCAUUUUGCGUGUGGUUAAGUACAUCCGUUAUAUUCAAGUUUACUACUUUUGUUUGAUUCCGCUUCUUUUAUUCAAACAUAUUUAUAAUCUUAUAAAUGAAGGAAGCUAUGCUUUAAAAAAGUAUGAUAAAAGCAUGAUAAGUUUAUAUUGCUCCAGCAAUAAUGAUUUAUGAUGAAUGGAUGUUCAUAACAUAAACUUACUUUAUCCAUCUUAAAUGGCUUCUUAUGAUGCUAUUGGGGUCAUUACACACUUAUAGCCUGUUUGGGAUUGUUUUUUUCUCAAAAAAAAAAACUAUUUUCUUUUUUGAAAAAAAAAACACUUUUUUCAAAAAAAGAAUGGUGUUUGAUAAACUUUCAAAAAUGCUUUUAAAAAGACGCAGAAAUUGUUUUUCUGUUGUCGGGAUGAAGCAGAAAAUUUCUACUUUUCAAAAAAAGCAGAAUCAGAAAAUUAUUUUUUUCAGGACAAAAAUAUCCCUAUUACAAACAGACACAUAUGUAAAAAUAUCCCUAUUACACACAAACAGAUGUAUGAAGGACUACUUAUUUUUGUGGUGAACUUUUUCAUAUGUAGUGAUUUAAUUUAUUGAAUAAUUUUUAAAUCCAAUGUUGUUUGAUGUUUUUAAGUAACAUUUAAGUUAUUUUAGUAAUAUUAUAUCAUUAUUUAAUAUUAUUUAAUGUAUCUGUGUAUAUAACUAUUGAUUGAAAAUUUUAUAGUACGUACUUUUUAUUAAAUAAAAAUAAAAAAUUUAAUUAAAAAUAUUAUAAUAGAUAUUUAAAAUAUACUUUCUCUAUAAAAUGAUUUUAGUAGUAAAAGUCUAUUGAUACAUGUCCUUUUUCGUCAUUUGUCUCUCAAAAACACUUUUUGAAAAAGAUUCUAAACACUGUCUAUUUAUCAAAAGCACUUUUCAAAUGAAUUUACUAAACACAAAUUGUAUUUUUUUCAAAAGCACUUUUCUAAAAAGCUAUUUUACAAAAGUGUUUCUCAAAUAAGCAAUUUUCUAAACAACAAUCCCAUACGGGCUCAGUUUAUGUAAAAAGAAUCAGUCUAAUUUAGGCAUAUUUAAAAUCUUAGCAAGUUUUUAUUUUUAUCCAGCCAUAUUCUUCUUUUUUCCCCUUUAAUUUUGCAUUUAUCCUACCGCCUAUUUGAGCUGUAACAGUUACCUUUAGCAAGGUUAAUGAGUAAUUCCACAAAUAAUCACUCUAUUAACAAUUUUUAUCUCAGAAAGUCGCUCGACUAAUGAUAAUUAUCUUAGAAAUCACUCAACUUUAUUUUUUCAUAGAAAAGUCACUCAACUAUUACUAGUUCGCCUACAAAGUCAUUCAACCAAUUCAAGCUAGAUUUUCAGUAGUUUUUGUUUUUUUUAAAUGGUGCUAUAUUUUCGGUAGAUAUUGUUGACGUGAUUCUGAUCUUCCCUUCAACUUAGCUAAACUAGAAAUUCCAGGCAAAAAUACCUAAAAGAACUGUUAGGUGGUGACUCUUGAAUUAAGCCCGAAAUCAUUAAUAAAUUGUGCUUCUACUUAAUCUGAUUAAGAUGGAGUGCAAUCACCCCAAUUUUUGAUAAAACAUACUUCUAUCAAUAUUGGAGAGACGUGAUUAGGCAUGAUAUGGAGCAGUUACAGCUUACGGAGGUCAUGACCUUUAAUAGGAAGGUAAGUGGAGGAUGCGGAUUAGGGUAGAGGGUUAGGGGGUGAGAGUGCACCGGUUACAGUAGGCGAGCGUUCUUUAUUGGUGUUUGAAGUUUCUUGUUCGUAGUGUUGAGUAAUGUCUAUGAUAUCGGAUAUAUAGUUUUUAGUAUUAUUUUGUGGCUGUAGUAUUAUCUUGUAGAUAGCAAGGUUAGUUUAUUUUGCAUACUGUACACAUUUAUGUUUGUGAUCGCUAUACUGUUAUCGGUCCUAAGCCGAGGGUCUAUCGGAAACAGCCUCUCUACUUCACCUACUUCACCUGAGGUAGUGGUAUGGUCUGUGUACACUCUACUCUCCCCAAACCCCACUAUGUGGGAAUACACUGGUAUGUUGUUGUUGUUAUAUACUUCUAUACCAUAAACUGUUCUUACUAUAAAGUAAUCAUGUUUUUAUGCAAAUACGUAUAGCUUACUAAGAGUUCUUAAAUUGAUUAAACCUUCAAUAUAAUCAAGUUCCCUUACCAUAAAGUGAUCCCUUAAUAAGAGUUGGAAUGCUUGGUCCUAUUUGUUAUAUGAUUGAGUACAUCUUUUUAGCCAAAACCUAUGGUGAAGAUUUGCUCCGUAAUGGAGUUAUUGUUUGUUAGGCUUAAGUUAAUCAUAUGAUUGCAAAGUUCGAUGUUUGUUUAGAAAAUUAACUUAAAGCUUUAUGACAUGACCCUAGAUAGGAAGGUCUGGAAGACGCGAAUUACGGCAGAAGAGUAGGGCCAGAUUGGGUCGCUAGGGUAGGGAAUAUUACUUGGUGGGGUUUUUUAUUUUUUAUUUUUUAUUCCCGUUAUGAUUCCGUAUUCAGUGUUCCAUGCUUAUUACGAAUCUGUGUGCUUUCCUCUGCUUUCCUCUGGUUUAUAUUCCUUAUGGGUGCCGUAUUUAUGUUAUGUCAUCUGCUUCUGUGCUUUACUAUGUGUUUGUGUGAUAUCUUGUGCCUUGAGCCGGGGGUCUUUCGGAAACAGCCUUUCUACUUCAUCAGAGGUAGAGGUAUGGACUGCGUACAUCUUACCCCCCCCAGACCCCACUAAGUGGGAAUACACUGGGUUUGUUGUUGUUGUUGUUGUAUUUGAAUGACGAGAAUUGGGGAGGCUUGCUAAAUUUUGGGUCUCCUUGAGCCUUUUCAGGGGCUAAGUAAUGGUCA